UAAUGAGACAUUCUAUGUAAGUUAGCAGUAGACUCAAUUACUCGACCCAGGGUGAGUCUGAUGAAAACUGCUGUGUCUGCCCGGUUCAGCUCUGAGAUUUUCUGGCAGUGCACAGUGCUGUGACGGAAUAAUCUCUGCGAUUAAGUUAUGUUCUGCCUCAGUUUAGAAGUGAA